UUCCUGAUGUUUAGUCGGAAUCUCCUUUCUUGCAACUUGAAGCCAUUGGUUUGAGUCAUCCAGGGCAGGAUAAAACAAGCCUGCUCCCUCCUUCAUGUGACAGCCCUUGUGAUAUAUGAAGAUGGCUAUCACAUCUCCUCUCAGUCUCCUCUUUUCCAAGCUAAACAUACCUAGCUCCCUCAA